GAAUGUGAGGACAUCUGUCACUCCAUUGAUUGCCAAGGUUGAUUCGGUUGAUCUGACUGGCUAAGUGGAUGACCACUUUGUCCCUCACCGCUCCAUGGGCAAUCCUUCCCAAGGCUGUGCACUCAGUUGAAGAGGAUGGCCAUCCCUGCUAGGAGAGGGUCUUUCUUAUUUCAACAGUCUACAAAUAGCUUAGCUCUCCUGCUAGGCUGCUAGAACCUCCAAACAAGCCUUU
rnacentral:sRNA from 1 species